GGUGGGAGUAGCUCAGUGGCUAAGACAUUGGACUUCUGAUCGGAUGUUUGUGAGUUCAAAUCCCAGCACCACCA